rnacentral:lncRNA from 1 species
GUGAUAGUAAAAGGAACUAGGAUACUUGAAUCACGCCACCUCCUGUCCCUCCGGAACAGGCGAGAAAUUGAGAAGGAAGACCGAGUAGUUGUCCCAACCAGUCCAUCAUGACAACUUCUAGAUAAAUUGAAUUGUAUGGUACUUACCCAAGAAAAGCCAAUGCAACCAAUAGCGUCACUCAAAAUAUCAGCUAAAAUAGCCGGCCAAGAAUUGCCAGUGGGAAAAUAAGCGUGGAAAUGAGGAGAGUGCCAGUGAGUUACCUAAAAACAAAAUAGGCAUAAUAACUCGUUCAACAUCUUGGAAAAUUUCUUGCCAUGGCUCCCCUUGUUCUGGUGCGGUUGCGGGUAUCAUAUCCCGAAUGUAGCCGGGUUGGACCGUCGGCAGGACACGCCUACAUGAUAACAUUUCAUCAACGACACAAGCCCACGUCGCGAUUUUGGAGAUGGAAGAUGCGCCAUUACUGUUGUUUGGUAUGCUUCAUUUUUUUGCUUUCAACGACUGUUGGAAUUAAUUGGCGACAUCACAAUUGGUUUCACGUUUCAUUUGUAAAUAGUAGUUGCCUGAUCUAUUGUAUAUUUAAAUUAAAUUAAUUACACGGCAUGUCGAUACCGAAAAGAUCGCAACCUGGUCUCUGAUGGCGCGCCAGUACGUUCCCUACCACACUUUCCUUUAUUUGGUUAUAUUUGGGAUUUUCACUAGCCCGGUCGAAUUUUAGCUGCAUAACGAAUCUUUUAUCCUGUCUCUUGGUUUGUGAUUUUUUUUCUGCAUAAAAAGUCAACAUUAAAAAAAAACAGUCUACCGGAACCGGAGCAUUAAUAAAGCAAUUGCAGGGAUGCCAGAUGCGGACUUUUAAAUUGCAAAACUGAAAAUGGCAAUGUUGCGCCUUGCGCGUUACUUUCAAGAUGGCUGCUGUCAGUUCUACGCCAGCCUCUUCGGGUACUGUUACGAGACAUAAUUCAACUCAACUUUCUCAACUUAUUUUCCCUGGCAUUAUUCGGCAAAAUGAUAACAUAGUCUGCAAUUUAUACUUAAUACUUGGCAAUUUCAUCUUAUCAUGUGGCCUGAAACUGCUGUUUCCCAAAAUGUCGUCUCUAGCUGCACGUACCGGUUGUACGCUUCAGAACAGUAAAUGUGAUCAUAUUGCAUGGUGAAGUUUGGGCUUUUUCAUUGCAGUACAAAGUGCUCAUGGAUUUGUUGAAGCCAGCUGGUGAAAGGUGUUGCGCUUACAGUCUUGCUACCUGUACCAGUUGUAGCUUUCGUCACACACUGAAACACUUCCAAACAAUUUAAAAGCCUCUUUGUUGCAGUCCAAUUUGUACAUGAAUUUUGUGCAGCCAGCUGGAGAAUGGUGUGGUGAGCUGUUGCAUGCAGACUGGGGUGCUGGUGUCGUUUGUUCAUUUCAUUUAACUAUGGACUAUUUAUCGUAAGAAAUCUGUCACUUGCCGCGUAAAAUUGUGUCCACCAGGUGGCGAAGUAGGUUAGCAUUUCGUUGUUGAUGUCGAAGAUUAUUAGACAAGUGACAUCUUAAUUUGGGCAUCUAACUAAGUGCUUUUGUGGAAAAUAUUUCUUAAGAGUUGUAAACUUUUGUUGAUGAAACAUAACAGAAAUUUUUUUUUCUUUUUAAAAACUUGAAAUGAUAUCUUUGAUCAUCUUAUUGAUUUCUUUUUCUCUAGUUUAGUCUUUAGUCUACAUUUCAAGUUUCCAUGGUCAGUAUGUUUGUGGCGUUGCUGUUUGGGGUACAGUGGUUUGCAGUAAUUUUCCAGUUGAGACAUGCGCUGAAAUGGAGCUUGUGCGGACUUGCAGUUGAACAUCAUACUUUAAUGUGUCAUUUGCCUAUGUCGGUGUCCAUGCAGUGUUGAACUGCUGUGCCAAAUAAUCGAUAUUGCCUGAUGGCUGUCGGGCUUAUUUUAUCGGCAGCAUUUUGUCGUUAUGUCGUCUCUUGCUACCUGUACCGGCGUUGAGUUCAAUCGUUUUUUUCAUAGGCUUGAUCAAUUGGUGAAUCUGAGGUUGCUGAAAUUCAAGACUCGUCAAUAAAUUAUGUAGAUAGAAAUAAAUUACAAGUGCAUAUCUGGGCUCCCUUCUUCAUUGGCCCCGUUUCCCUAAAUAACCACUAACCAACGCCCGCCGGUGGUCACUCACUCGCUGCGACAACCAGGAGGAAGGGAGAUGUUUGGUCGAACGGGGACUUGCAAGGCGCAUGAUUCGAUGAAAUCUGUUGGAGGGUCAUGAGUCUAAGCCGGAAGCCUACUAUGACACACUGCUCUCAUAAUAACUGCUCCUCAGCUCUCUUCGCUCUUUUUCCGGUUUCUCUUAACCAUGGCCGGGUAAUCUCCCUGGUCGAGUCAGUCGGGCAGUGUCUCCCCCUGCUUGACUGGCAGCAAUUUGACCCGGACGAUCCAUUUAAUUAAUAAACUAU